rnacentral:rRNA from 1 species
UACGGGGGGAGCAAGCGUUGUUCGGAUUUACUGGGCGUAAAGGGCGCGUAGGCGGCCACCGCAAGUCGACUGUGAAAUCUCCGGGCUUAACCCGGAAAGGUCAGCCGAUACUGCGGGGCUAGAGUGCAGAAGGGGCAACUGGAAUUCUCGGUGUAGCGGUGAAAUGCGUAGAUAUCGAGAGGAACACCUGCGGCGAAGGCGGGUGCUGGGCUGACACGUGACGCUGAGGCGCGAAAGCUAGGGGAGCGAACGGG